rnacentral:rRNA from 1 species
UACGUAGGGUGCAAGCGUUGUCCGGAAUUAUUGGGCGUAAAGAGCUCGUAGGCGGUUCGUCGCGUCGGCCGUGAAAACCUAGCAGCUUAACUGUGGGCUUGCGGUCGAUACGGGCAUCACUGGAGUUCGGCAGGGGAGACUGGAUUUCCUGGUGUAGCGGUGAAAUGCGCAGAUAUCAGGAGGAACACCGGUGGCGAAGGCGGGUCUCUGGGCCGAUACUGACGCUGAGGAGCGAAAGCGUGGGGAGCGAACAGG